GAGUUUGAUCCUGGCUCAGAGCGAACGCUGGCGGCAGGCUUAACACAUGCAAGUCGAGCGGGCGUAGCAAUACGUCAGCGGCAGACGGGUGAGUAACACGUGGGAACGUACCUUUUGGUUCGGAACAACUGAGGGAAACUUCAGCUAAUACCGGAUAAGCCCUAACGGGGAAAGAUUUAUCGCCGAAAGAUCGGCCCGCGUCUGAUUAGCUAGUUGGUGAGGUAAUGGCUCACCAAGGCGACGAUCAGUAGCUGGUCUGAGAGGAUGAUCAGCCACACUGGGACUGAGACACGGCCCAGACUCCUACGGGAGGCAGCAGUGGGGAAUAUUGGACAAUGGGGCAACCCUGAUCCAGCCAUGCCGCGUGAGUGAUGAAGGCCCUAGGGUUGUAAGCUCUUUGUGCGGGAAGAUAAUGACGGUACCGCAAGAAUAAGCCCCGACUAACUUCGUGCCAGCAGCCGCCGCGGUAAC
rnacentral:rRNA from 1 species